rnacentral:rRNA from 1 species
CCUACGGGAGGCAGCAGUGAGGAAUAUUGGUCAAUGGGCGCGAGCCUGAACCAGCCAAGUCGCGUGAGGGAAGACGGUCCUAUGGAUUGUAAACCUCUUUUGUCGGGGAGCAAAAGACGCCACGCGUGGCGUUCCGAGAGUACCCGAAGAAAAAGCAUCGGCUAACUCCGUGCAAGCAGCCGCGGUAAUACGGAGGAUGCGAGCGUUUGCCGGAUUUAUUGGGUUAAAAGGGUGAGCAGGCGGAAGAUCAAGUCAGCGGUAAAAUUGAGAGGCUCAACCUCUUCGAGCCGUUGAAACUGGUGUUCUUGAGUGAGUGAGAAGUAUGCGGAAUGCGUGGUGUAGCGGUGAAAUGCAUAGAUAUCACGCAGAACUCCGAUUGCGAAGGCAGCAUACCGGCGCUCAACUGACGCUCAUGCACGAAAGUGUGGGUAUCGAACAGGAUUAGAUACCCUUGUAGUC